rnacentral:misc_RNA from 1 species
AGUCGUGAAAUCUAAGCAACUUUAAUGGAAAAGGAUGGCUGAAAUCGAUAUCAAUUUUAAUAUUUUAUUUUACGUCUGUCAAGUUCUUUUGUGUUAUAAAACAUUAUAUUGAUUAUGGCCAUCUGUCUUUUUUAAUGAUAUCUACAUGACUGUUAAAUACCAGUUUUACUAAAUUGAAGAAAGAGGUUUAUCAAAAUGAGGGUUGGAAAAUGAUUGUAAUAUACGUUGAUCGAAUACUUAAGGUAUGUCACAGUUUAGUAAUGUAGUUUUGUUUCAUUUAUUAAUAAGCAUAAUAUUGUUCUCUUUCUCUCCAGCUCAGAAAGCACCUUGUAUUGUGCGUCGUAUCAGAACUAUUUCUAAAAGGACUAAAAAGCAUUUAUCAAAAUGAAAUAAUUCAAACAAUUACUGUGAAUUCCUUAUAAAACGCGAGGAAUUUAUAUCCGCGUAAAAUCGCGAGGAGCACCUCUCGCGGAUUUUAAAACCUCGCGUUCGCGAUUUUAUAUUCUCGCGAUUUGAUACAAAACAGCGGGAUCGCGGAAUUAAGUGCUGGCGUAACAUAAGGAAUUUACAGUAUACAUAAAAAAGGCAUAAUUAUAUCUGCUUAAUUAUAGUCUUUAGUCAAAACCGAUAAAUAGUUAUCUUUCUGUCCAUCUGUUUCAUCUGAUUAUUCUAAUCUAUAACCUUUUAAUAGAAGAAUUAUCAGCAGAUUUUGAUUUGUACUUGUAUAAGAAUUUUUUUCUUUCGAUUUAUUAUUUUUUUAUAUGCUAUUAAAAUGUUUGCGGGAUCAUACAAAAGUUGUAUUAAAUAUCCUAUGAUACUUUAAUAUAAAUUAACUUGUAAGAUUUU